GCAGGGCUUCCAGAAUCUGCUCGCACAUAGCCAGGCACCGCGGCACGUGGAAGCAGCCUAUGAGGAGAAUGGAUGCGGGGGUUAGGUGGGCCUGGGGAGCCAGGUGCCACAAACCUUUGCAGUCUUGUCCCGUUCCCUGCUCACCUUUAAAAGGACCUCCCUUGAUGGCUUCCAGCAAGUUGCUCUGGACAUCCCACCUGGGUAGGGCAGAGACCAUCAGCAUCCUGGAAGUAGAAGAGGCCUCCAUGUUCAGGGUCCCAUCCAGAGUGGAAAGGCAACAAGAGAAACUUGUCAAUGAUGUA